rnacentral:rRNA from 1 species
UACGUAGGGUGCGAGCGUUAAUCGGAAUUACUGGGCGUAAAGCGUGCGCAGGCGGUCGUGCAAGACAGAUGUGAAAUCCCCGGGCUUAACCUGGGAAUGGCGUUUGAAACUACGGAGCUGGAGUGUGGCAGAGGGAGGUAGAAUUCCACGUGUAGCGGUGAAAUGCGUAGAUAUGUGGAGGAAUACCGAUGGCGAAGGCAGCCUCCUGGGCCAACACUGACGCUCAUGCACGAAAGCGUGGGGAGCAAACAGG